GAUGAAGAACGUAGCGAAUUGCGAUAAGUAAUGUGAAUUGCAGAUUUUCAGUGAAUCAUCGAAUCUUUGAACGCACAUUGCGCCCCUUGGUAUUCCGAGGGGCAUGCCUGUUCGAGCGUCAUUUCAACCCUCAAGCACAGCUUGGUCUUGGGCUUCGCCGCUAACCCGGCGGGUCUUAAAAUCAGUGGCGGUGCCGUCGGGCCCUGAGCGCAGUAAUCUCUCUCGCUAUAGGGUCCCGGCGGAUGCUGGCCAGUAACCCCCAAUUUUCUAUGGUUGACCUCGGAUCAGGUAGGGAUACCCGCUGAACUUAAGCAUAUCAAUAAGCGGAGGA
rnacentral:misc_RNA from 1 species